rnacentral:rRNA from 1 species
AUGGCGGCGGACGCGCUCCAGGACAGGUCCGCCUCGGGCGGUCCUCGUGUGGCGUUCGCAUGCGGCGUGUGGAGCGACCUUUCGCGGCCGCUGAAGCCGGCCUUCCGCGAGGCCGUCGUGGGCACGUACAAGGCCGAGGCGAGCACAGUCAACUUCCAGGGCGCACCGGAGGAAACGCGUGGCCAGAUCAACGCGUGGGCGGCUCAGGUGACCAGGAACCUCAUCCGCAACGUUCUCCCCAAAGGAUCGAUAAAUCCGGCAACAACUCGGGUCGUCCUCGGCAACGCCAUGUACUUUAAGGGCAAGUGGGAGGACCAGCCGUUCGACAGGAGGUACACCGUGCACGAACCCUUCCACCGGCUCGCCCGCAGCCAGGUCGCCGUGCCCUUCAUGCAGAGUACGAUGUCGCAGUUCGUCGCCGUGCACGACGGGUUCAAGGUACUAAAACUCCGGUACAAAAUGGUUGCGCCAGAUCACGAGGAACAUGUGCAUCCUCCUCCUUAUUUGGGCUUGAUUCUCAUCGUCCCUAUCCCAUGGUGCAACCAUGGCCGUGUUGGUCAGUCCGGUGAGUAUGGCGGCCCCGACCAUGGUGCUCCUUAUUCCCAUGCCCAUGUGAGGGCUUCAUACAACCGUCGGGGUCGGUCUGCAAAUUAUAUUUCCACCGGACCCCCACCAUACUUCCGUCAUCGUCCCUAUCCUCCUCCUCCAUUCCGCAACCCCACCUCUCCGUACGCCUAUCCCAGGCCAUAUCCUAAUGGUGCACUUGGUCGGUUUGGCCACCCUCCUAACCCACCAUAUAUCGCCCUCCCCCAUGUUCCAGGUCGGACUGGCUACCCUGGUAAUGCAUUUGGCAACCGCUACAAGCCUGAUCCUUGGGCAGGCAACGCCUAUCCAUCCCAGUGUGCUGCUCGGUCGGUGUUCUCCGGCUCCAAUCGUACCGGGUACACACAGUUCUCCAUGUGCAUAUUUCUCCCGGACGCCCAUGACGGCCUGUGGGGGCUGCUGGACACGAUUGCGUCCCGACCUGGGUUCCUGCACGACCACCUGCCGGAGCAGCAAAUCGCCCUCCGCGAGUUCCGGAUGCCAAAGUUCAAGCUGUCCUUCCAUAGCAGCAUCGUCGCCGUGCUCAAGAAGCUAGGGCUUGAGCUGCCGUUCUGUGAGCGUGGCAACCUAUCUGAAAUGGUGGAGGGCGAUGGCUCUGGCUUGCCGAUAGUGGUGGGGGAUGUUAUCCACAAGGCUGUUGUCGAGGUAAAUGAGGAAGGAACUGAAGCCGCCGCUGUCACUGUGUUGGUUGGGGCUCUUGGAUGCGCAAGGCCUCCGUCACCUCCAACACCUCCGCAGGUGGAUUUCAUUGCCGACCAUCCAUUUGCCUACUACAUAGUGGAGGAGGCAACCGGAGCUGUUGUCUUCGCGGGGCACGUCCUCGACCCUUCCAAGGAGUAA